rnacentral:rRNA from 1 species
UACGUAGGGUGCGAGCGUUAAUCGGAAUUACUGGGCGUAAAGUGUGCGCAGGUGGCCGCGCAAGUCGAGUGUGAAAUCCCCGAGCUUAACUUGGGAAUUGCGCUCGAAACUACGUGGCUCGAGUGUGGCAGAGGAAGGUGGAAUUCCACGUGUAGCGGUGAAAUGCGUAGAUAUCUGGAGGAAUACCGGUGGCGAAGGCGGCAUCCUGGACCAUUACUGACACUGAACCGCGAAAGCUAGGGGAGCAAACGGG